GGUUAAGCGACUAAGCGUACACGGUGGAUGCCCUGGCAGUCAGAGGCGAUGAAGGGCGUGCUAAUCUGCGAUAAGCGCCGGUAAGGUGAUAUGAACCGUUAUAACCGGCGAUACCCGAAUGGGGAAACCCAGUGUGAUUCGUCACACUAUCAUUAACUGAAUCCAUAGGUUAAUGAGGCGAACCGGGGGAACUGAAACAUCUAAGUACCCCGAGGAAAAGAAAUCAACCGAGAUUCCCCCAGUAGCGGCGAGCGAACGGGGAGGAGCCCAGAGCCUGAAUCAGCAUGUGUGUUAGUGGAAGCGUCUGGAAAGGCGCGCGAUACAGGGUGACAGCCCCGUACACAAAAGCGCAUGUGCUGUGAGCUCGAUGAGUAGGGCGGGACACGUGGUAUCCUGUCUGAAUAUGGGGGGACCAUCCUCCAAGGCUAAAUACUCCUGACUGACCGAUAGUGAACCAGUACCGUGAGGGAAAGGCGAAAAGAACCCCGGCUAGGGGAGUGAAAAAGAACCUGAAACCGUGUACGUACAAGCAGUGGGAGCACAGGUUUACCUGUGUGACUGCGUACCUUUUGUAUAAUGGGUCAGCGACUUAUAUUCUGUAGCAAGGUUAACCGAAUAGGGGAGCCGGAGGGAAACCGAGUCUUAAUUGGGCGUUAAGUUGCAGGGUAUAGACCCGAA
rnacentral:rRNA from 1 species